rnacentral:ncRNA from 1 species
GAAAAAUGGUUAAUAUACAUGCUUAGUAAGAAGGAUAUCAGGGGAAACCCUCAUGGAGAUCUGUAACGUAUCUGAUGUGCAAAUCGAUGGUUGGGACUGGGUAUAGGGACGAAAGAUUACUCGAACCAUUUAGAGC